GACAGAGGGUGCAAACGUUGUUCGGAAUUACUGGGCGUAAAGCGCGUGUAGGCGGCUAAGUAAGUCGGGCGUGAAAUCCCACGGCUCAACCGUGGAAGUGCACUCGAAACUGCAUAGCUAGAGUCCUGGAGAGGAAGGUGGAAUGCUUGGUGUAGAGGUGAAAUUCGUAGAUAUCAAGCGGAACACCGGUGGCGAAGGCGGCCUUCUGGACAGUGACUGACGCUGAGACGCGAAAAGCGUGGGGGAGCAAACAGGG
rnacentral:rRNA from 1 species